rnacentral:rRNA from 1 species
AGUGAACGCUGGCGGUAGGCCUAACACAUGCAAGUCGAACGGCAGCACAGUAAGAGCUUGCUCUUACGGGUGGCGAGUGGCGGACGGGUGAGGAAUACAUCGGAAUCUACUUUUUCGUGGGGGAUAACGUAGGGAAACUUACGCUAAUACCGCAUACGACCUACGGGUGAAAGCAGGGGAUCUUCGGACCUUGCGCGAUUGAAUGAGCCGAUGUGGGAUUAGUGAGUUGGCGGGGUAAAGGCCCACCAAGGCGACGAUCCGUAUCUGGUGUGAGAGGAUGAUCAGCCACACUGGAACUGAGACACGGUCCAGACUCCUACGGGAGGCAGCAGUGGGGAAUAUUGGACAAUGGGCGCAAGCCUGAUCCAGCCAUACCGCGUGGGUGAAGAAGGCCUUCGGGUUGUAAAGCCCUUUUGUUGGGAAAGAAAAGCAGCAGGUUAAUACCCCGCUGUUCUGACGGUACCCAAAGAAUAAGCACCGGCUAACUUCGUG